rnacentral:misc_RNA from 1 species
GCAAACUUGGUCAUUUAGAGGAAGUAAAAGUCGUAACAAGGUUUCCGUAGGUGAACCUGCGGAAGGAUCAUUAUUGAAUAAAUCUGAUGUGGUUGUCGCUGACUCUCAGGAGUAUGUGCACACCCGUCACCUUUAUCUUACUCCCUGUGCACACACUGUAGGCCUGGAUAAACUAUCGCCGGAUAGGCGGAUGCAGAGAUUGCUGUAGCCUUGUAACCGAGGCCAGCUUUCUUUGAAUUUCCAGGUCUAUGAUUUUACAUACCCCAAAUGAAUGUUAUAGAAUGUGCUCUUAUGGCCUUGUGCCUAUAAAUCAAUACAACUUUCAGCAACGGAUCUCUUGGCUCUCGCAUCGAUGAAGAACGCAGC